GGAAAAUCGCUGAGCCUCAUCUGCGGGGCGCUGUCGUGGCUCCGGGACUGCGAGGAGAAGCGGCGGCAGGAGGAGGCGCAGCUGCUGGCGCUCGGGGCCGGCGCGCAGGACGCGCCGAGCCCGCAGCAGGCUCGGCCGGGCAGCGCGGACACGGCCGGGCAGCCGGACUGGGUCACGGCCUUCGUGCAGAAGAAAGAGGAGCGGGACAUGGUGGACAGGCUGAAGGAAGAGCAGAUCAGAAGGAAAAAGCGAGAAGAUCGUCUUGAGAAAAUUCGGCACAACGUGCAGUUAAAAUACGCAGCAAAGAGGAAGAGAUGUGAGGAGGAUGAGGCAAAGCUCCUUCUUCAGCUCAGCAAGGAGGCUCUUUCACAGGGAGCUGGAGAGGGUGCUCUAGACCAGCUGGAUCACAAUGAGGAGGAGCUGAUUCUUGCUGAGUAUGAGAGUGAUGAUGAAAAGAAAGUGGUAUCUGGGCUGGAAGAAGAUGAUGAUGAUGAUUUGGAAGAGGAGCAUGUGACUAAGAUCUACUACUGCAGCCGCACUCACUCCCAGCUGUCCCAGUUUGUGCAUGAGGUGCAGAAAAGUCCUUUUGGCAAAGACACACGUCUGGUGUCCUUGGGAUCCAGGCAGAAUCUGUGUGUGAAUGAGGACGUGCGACGCCUGGGCGCUCUCCAGCUCAUCAAUGACCGCUGCAUGGAGAUGCAAAAGAACAAACAUGAAAAGAAGAGCAGUGAGGACAAUGAGGGGAAGAAGAGACGUGUGAGUCGCAUCGUGUGCCCAUUUUAUUCGUUUGAGCAAAUGCAGUUUCUCCGUGAUGAAGUUCUGGUGGAAGUGAAGGAUAUUGAGCAAUUGGUGUCCUUGGGAAGGGAGACUAAAGCCUGCCCAUAUUAUGGGAGUCGAUUUGCUAUUCCUGCUGCUCAGCUGGUGGUGCUGCCCUAUCAGAUGCUUUUGCAUGAGCCUACCAGGAACGCUGCUGGGAUCAAGCUGAAGGACCAGGUUGUGAUCAUUGACGAGGCCCACAACCUCAUAGACACCAUCACCUGCAUCCACAGUGCCGAGGUCAGCGGCUCUCAGCUGUGCUGUGCCCACUCCCAGCUGUCGCAGUACAUGGAGCGAUACAGGAAACGUUUGAAGGCAAAGAACUUGAUGUAUAUUAAGCAGAUCCUGUAUUUAUUGGAGCAGUUUGUGGCUAUGCUGGGAGGUAAUGUGAACCAGAAUCCUGGAUGUCAGGCAGUUUCCCAAACAGGGACAGUGCUAAAAUCCAUCAAUGACUUUCUAUUUCAGAGCCAGAUUGACAAUAUCAACCUCUUCAAGGUUCAGCGGUACUGUGAGAAGAGUCUUAUCAGCAGGAAGCUUUUUGGGUUUAUGGAGCGAUAUGGGAGCCCUGCCUCAGCUGUGAAAACCAACAAGGAGAACCAGAAGCUGGCUGGUUUGCAGGACUUUCUUCUGACCCUUCAGCAGGGAUCUGAAAAGGAGGCAGCUAACCCCCAGAGCUCUCCUGUGGAGGCUGAGCACGAGCAGCUCCGAACUGCCUCUCCACUGAUGCAGAUUGAAGGAUUUCUCUCAGCCCUCACAAAUGCCAACCAAGAUGGCAGAGUCAUUCUCAACAGGCAAGGCACAGUUGGUCAGAGCAGCCUCAAAUUCCUCUUGCUGAAUCCAGCUGUCCACUUUGCCAAGGUUGUGGAAGAAUGCCGUGCUGUCAUCAUUGCUGGAGGCACCAUGCAACCGGUGGCUGAUUUCCGAGAGCAGCUGCUGUGCUGUGCUGGCGUGGACCCUGCCCGUAUCGUGGAGUUCUCCUGUGGACAUGUGAUUCCUCCAGAAAAUAUUUUACCCAUCAUCCUCUGCAGUGGUCCUUCCAACCAGCAGCUGGAGUUCACUUACCAGACCAGAGACCUGCCUCAGAUGAUGGACGAGACAGGUCGAAUCCUGUGCAACCUGUGCAAUGUGAUCCCGGGAGGUGUGGUGUGCUUCUUCCCCUCCUACGAGUACGAGAAGCAGGUGUAUGGACACUGGGAGAAGACAGGGCUGCUCUCCCGCCUGGCAGCCAAGAAGAAGAUCUUUCAGGAGCCUAAGAAAGCCAACCAGGUGGAGCAGGUGCUAGUGGAAUAUGCCAAAUGCAUAAAGCGCUGCAGCCAGACAGGAGGACAGAUGACAGGGGCCCUGCUGCUUUCUGUAGUUGGAGGCAAAAUGAGUGAAGGGAUAAAUUUCUCCGAUGACCUGGGAAGGUGUGUGAUUAUGGUGGGAAUGCCUUACCCCAACAUUAGAUCUCCAGAACUGCAGGAAAAAAUGACUUGGCUUGACAAAACAAUGCCCAGAGCUGGUGGCCAGGCACCGAGCAGAGUGCUGAUUGAAAACCUGUGCAUGAAGGCAGUAAACCAGUCAAUAGGCAGAGCCAUUCGCCAUCAGAAGGACUUUGCAAGCAUCCUGCUCCUGGACCACAGGUACACACGCCCUGCCAUCUUCAACAAACUGCCCCAGUGGAUCAGGGAGAGGACCCAGGUGAAACCUGCCUUUGGAUCAGCGUUUGCUGAGAUAAGAAAGUUCCAUCGAGGCAAGCUGGAUGCUUUGUGAUGUGGAGCAGAGAACAGAUGGUAUUCAUCAUUAUGACUUACACCUCUGAAGACUAGGGGAAGGAGCAGUCCACACUGCAGGACAGUACCUUUGCGUCUCAGCACCAGCUUGUUGAAGAGGUCUGACAUCAAAUCUCCACCUUGUCCCGUAGCUCUCACUGAAACAGAGCAGAAAAAGUCAGUGAAGAAAGAUUAGUCUGAGCAAAGCACUAUGGCAAAUGCAUUUCCCUGCGAUACCGCCUUCAGAUUAAAGAAAAAACUCCAAACCUCUAAUUUUAUAUGACACCCCAAAACUACAGUCCAUUUUCAGGUGAGGUAAAUACUAGGCACAGCAGAGUUAAUGGCAUCUUCUGGGGAAAACCAAGAGUGGAGUUCAUUGAGGGGCUGUGCAUUUGCAGUCUCAUUCUGCCAAAGCAGCUCCAUCAAUCCCCUCCCCAACUACCUCAUCCAAGGUGCUUAAACUGGUUCAGUCCUGUCCCCCAGGGUUUCAUUUGUGUGCCUGGUCCUGUGCCUCACAUGUGAAACUUCUCCACAAGCCCUGAGACAGAUGCCCUUCAGGCCUGUGUGGUUUAGCAAGUUCACAGAGCUCUGGCUGAGUGGUGAACACCUGAGACCUCCAUCAGCCUGUGAGGAGACAACUGCUUUCUUCUCUGUGAGUUCACUGUGCUCCUGACUUGUCUGCCUGCCCCCAGACCCAACCUGGACAAGGAAAAGAAGUUCUGCCAAAGAGUCUGAGCACCUUGUUCUUGUUCCUUCUGCUUCUUUUUCUCCAGCUUCCUCUCCUUGACACUGCGAAGGUUGGCCUUCCCAAUGCCCCCGGCCUGGCGGAUGGACUCCAAGAGACUGGCACGCCCAGUAGAGGGGUUCACCACCUCCUUUGGGGCUCCUUGGACUGAAGCUGCAGGGACAGCAAGGACAGGCAGCAGACAUGGGGUCCUGGCAUCAGAGAUUGAAAAUACCUGGUUGCAAAGGCUCCACCGACUCAGUGUUGAAAGUGGGCAGCUCUGGAAUUGCACUGCUGGGGGCAGAGGGUGCAAUGCCAGGGCCCAGGUCAGCGCUGUACAUGAGGUCUGCAGCAAUGCCAGGCAGGUCUGGCAGGUAGGAGGGCACAUCAAUCUCAGGGACCUGGCCCAGAUCUGGCACAUAGAAGUAAUUUUCAGCGACCUAAAGAAACCCAAAGCAACAAGGUAAGGCAGUGACUAUGUGCUUGCUGCAAACAGGCACACUGCAGGGAACAAUCUAGGCAGCAGUCACAGCUGGGCUGGUGUACCUUGGUACAUCAGCUAUCCCUGCACCCCUGUGCUUAGAAGCUACCUCCUGCAAACCAGGCUUGGGAAAGGUAGACUGCAGGAAGAGCAAGUGCAGGACCCUUCUUAGUUUCACAGUAGCAAGUGAACUCUGAAGGGUUCAUGCACUAACUGCUGCAGCCUAAAUAAACCAGUCCCUUCUCCUCUAGAAGAGGAUAGCAUCUGAACCAUUUCAAAGAUUAAAAUGCAGAAGCACGACCCAGUAGUUACAGGGGCUUGCUUUUGUGUUAAACACACAGGCAACACACUGUGUGCACUGUGAAUAAAGAGUUUCUUCACUAUACACAUUAUAUCCUCCAGUCCAACAUGAUGAGCAAAUGAUUCCCAGGCUCCUUUUCCCAGUCCCAAAUGACCCUCCAGCAAAGCUGGUACACCCCAGUCAUGGCCUUUAUAAGGUGUCGGGUGCCAGUCACAUGUUGGGGCAGCUGGGUUGGUGCACUGCCUGCCCCACGUGUACACCAAGCACAGCCCUUUGCUCAGUCUGGCUGGCCCUCCUGUUUGCACCAGUGGAUACCCCUUCCCAGCAGGAAUGAUGGGGAUCACACUUCACCCCAGGGACCUUCUAGCAGUGGCACCUCACCCUCAGACUCUGAGGCUCAGAAGUUGGCACAAUAGAGCUAAUUAAGUGAUAGAUCCUCCAAACCUCCCUGCAGCUCUGAGGUGAAGCAGCAAGGCUGAUAUCCCAUUACUCUCCUUUCACCACUCCACAAGGGCUUGAGCAGAGAGAAACACCUGCCAAGUGUGAGGCUUUUGUCUCACUCAUCAAGCUCACACCUCAAGCACAAAAGCAGGCAAGGUCCUUCUGAUAAAUGAGGUACCUGCAGCCCUGUAAGGUGCUGUUGUCCUACCUGCUCACCACCCUAUCAAAGUCCUUUCUUUUCAGAGAGCUGAGCAAAACCCUCUGAAAUAUAAGCAGCUGCAUCUCACCUGUCUGUCUAGCUGUCCCCUUUUGGUGAUGGAGAGAGGUGCAUCAAAGAGCUUCUCUUCUGUCUCUGUUUCUAGAGCCACAUGGGUCUUGGUCACUGCUCCAGCCAGAGGAUCCAGGAACACAUACUUCUUGUACCUAAGGGCAGAAAACAAGUAUUUUAGUGAUGCUGCCUUGAGAGCCAAGGCCAGAAGAAACAAUGUACACAAGAGGGCCUUGGAGGCAGAGACCUGACUUUACUUCUAAAGAUGGAACAUAUCGGGCCUUCCAGGUUUCUUCUUUUAGCUUUUCUGCCUUUCCCCUCCACAACCAGGAGGCAAGCAGCUCCCCACCCUGCCAGCGCAGCCUCCAGACUAAUUCUAAAGGAAAGCCCCACUGUAGUGCCACCAUGACCAAGCUCUCCCCUUUCCACCAUCUGAGUCUGCAGCAGGACACCAGUGACUUGUCACUCAAGGCCCAGAGGACAGCCAAAAGGAGAAAUGAUCCAUGGCUCAGGAAAAGAAAGACAAGGUCCAGCAGUUGAAAGCUCAAGAAGAGCUUAAAGCAGCUCUUCAAUAAGAGCAGAAAGAAGAACCAUGACGUGAGCCCAGUGGGAAAGGAAACUACAGUGAGGGAGGUGGUGGAGACAUAAAAGCAGUAAAGUAAUGGUGUGAGGAAUUGUCAGGAGAAGAAGCAGUACCUAAGCUGGCACACAGGGCAGAGAAGGGCAGGAGUGACUGCCUAUCUCAAGGCUGGAAAGAAACAAAAGAUGAAUAAUAGGAAGAACUAAGCAAAAGAAAAUGCAAAAUUGGGUUGGAUCAGGUGAGUAGAGGAUCAGGUCUGGACAAAAUAACUGCUUCCACCCAAGGCAAAGAGCAGGGAAGGUUCCCAGCUGGAAGCCAGCAGAGAGGUAUCAAACCCUGUCCUAUCAAGAGCUUGAUGGGUAACAUCCCCAGGAAAGCAAGCAGUCACUGCUGUGCCUGAGGAAGGGAAAGCUCCCCUGAGGACAAGCAGGGCAGGUGAGCAGCACAGCACUGCUCCAGCUCUCACAGGUUCUCGGUGGUAUUGAAGAGUAGCAGGGAGCUGAGGGAGCUGAUGUUCCUGGGAAGGCUGCCAAGGCCUUCUUCUGCAUCAUCCUCCUGGUGAAUUUUGGUGCUCACGCACACAGGGAAAUACUUGAGCUUUUCCUGCAAGAAGACAGAUAAAAGGUGGUAAGGCACUAGAACCAUGGCUGCUGAGGCAGCUCUCCCCAGCCACCACAACCCACACUGCUGGAUGCACUGUAUGGUCUGGGAACCCUGCUGCUCCCUCUCUAUCUCCCUUUGAGCUAGGAAGUACAUGGACAACAUUGCAACCCCACAAUCAUGACAAGUGUGGGCAGUUCAGACUGGUGGCAAGUGCUUUUGGUGCUGUGGAUGGGUCAUACCAAACGUGUGACUCUGGCAAGUAUCCACCAGAAUAAAACCACCACUCUGGCUCUAUAGUCAGAGGCAGGGAUCAAGCACCACAGCCUAAAUGGCUUUUGUUACAGUGUCUCCAAUUAUGACACAUUUUCAUGCAGGAAGAGCUCCCCACACAUCUCUGUUACCUUCCCUCUGUUGCCUUCACUUGAUGUUUUAAGAGCUGUGAUUGCACUGGUGGGGUAGGCAGGGAAGGCAAAGGAAAAAGAGGUUAGGAAAGAACAGAGUGCCUGCACUAGGCAAGAGAUCAGGCAGAAAGGAGUGCACAGGGUGGAACGUGUGCCAGAUGGUUUUGCAAAGCCCGAGGGAUUUGCAGGAGUUUUCAACUCUAAUGAACUGAAAUCUUCUCUCUCUCAGUUCUAAAACUUCAUGCAUAAUAUAUAGAGCUCCCUUUUGAAAAGGACUUAUUACAUCUGAACUGCCUGACUUUUACAGAGCACAGGAGUUGCCAUCCCACAUCAGGCCAGUGUUUCAGCUGGUGUGACAGUGCCCGCUGCCACAUGCUCUGGGGGAUGAAGCUCAGUGCCCACAGAACUCUGCUCUAGAGGGAGGAAAGGCAUCAGUUCCUGAACAGAGACAGUUUGAUGAACAAACCUCCACCUCAGACCCCUCUGCAGACCCCUCCUCAGCCCCUUCUGAACUCUUCACAGUUCUUUCUUCCCAACUAAGGCAAGCAGCAGCUACCAGGCAGUAAGUGUUCAUACCAGGAGAAACCAGAGCACUUUGUCAGGUUAAGUAGCUCACCACAUCUGUGGUUUUCUUCUGCCACCAGAGGAUGACACUCCAAAUAUUGUCCACAGCUUCCUACUGCCUCACUACUUCCAGCAUCCCUGCACCACCCCACUCUCUGAGUCCCUCUUCCCUCCUUGUACUUGUGUGGGAGACAUAGAGACCACUGGUGGUUCAGUUUUAAGACCACAUCUCAAGGACACAAGCAGUUCCUCCUGAUUGAAAUUUCAGUCUUAAAUCUGGUAGCCAGAAAUCCAAGGAAAUGGCUUAGUCACUGUUCAGUUAAUCCACUAAGAGUUUACAUGAUGCUUGAGACUAUAAAAUGCUAUAAGAAAGGACCUGUAAGAUUUUAUCUAAUUCAGGUUCCAACUUGUGAAAAAUACAUUGAAGUUAACACCUUCUAUUUUUUAAUGGAAGCAAUAGGCAAAAAUAUAUAAAUUCUUAUUUAGAGAUUGUAGAAGCAGAGACUCAAAAAUAAAAAGUUUUUUGAUCAUUAA